ACACUCACCUAUCUUUUUUCUUCUUCUGAUGUCUCGUCUUCUUGAAUUACUGCUUUACCCUUCAAAAGUCCAAAGUAAUUUUUGU
rnacentral:ribozyme from 1 species